CCGGCUGCUGCCUGCAGAGGGCCAGCAGUUGUUGCAGCACCUGGUGCUGGGCUGGGUCUGCCAAGGAGAGGCCUGAGAACAAAGGCUUUUGGGGUAUAAAAGCUGAACUUGAACUGAUGGAGAGGGCUUCAUUUUAAUUCAACAAAUGGACAUGACCUUUUCUCCAAGGGGAAAACAAACCCUUCAGAGGAGUGUGGAGGACUGGAACCUGCCAGGGUCUCCACAGGACUGAUGGGGGACACUGGAAGUUUUCUGCCUUCUAGGUAGUUAUGAUCUCCUAGCAGUUCAAGGAAACAUGAUCUUGAUAAGUGGAAGUUUAAACAACUUUUUCCCCCUACAAAGAAGCAGUGAGAAGGAAUAGCAUGAAUAUGUAUAAUUAUGAUGGGACAUGGUGCUGAAAACUAUGGGGAAAUAUGUUUAAACGAAUGGGUUUCCUGCCGACUAAAUCAUUCUGAGUCAUUGAACAUCGCUUCUAUAUUAUCUCAUUGUUGAUUAAAAGCA